rnacentral:lncRNA from 1 species
CACAGCGCGUGAGUUUCGCUCUGUUUUAUGUGUGCUUCCCAGUCCUGUGGUGCUGCUAUACCGGGGACGUUGAGUCCCCACAGACCUGGAAAUUGCGGCCCCUCUUUCUCAACCCAGAGCAAAUUGAGACGUCCGGGCUGGAGUGCACUGGUGCCAUCUCAGCUCACUGCAACUUCUGACUCCCGAGUUCAAGUGAUUCUUUUGCCUCAGUCUCCCAAGUAGCUGGGACAACAGGGGCGUGCCGAGAAGCCCAGCUAAUUUUGUACUUGUAGUAGAGAGCGGGUUUCACCACGCUGGCCAAAAUUGUCUCAACCUCUUGAUCUCAUGAUCCACCGCCUCACCCUCCCAAAGUGCUGGGAUUACAGGCAUGAGAGUCUCACUCUGUCCUUCAGGCUGUGAGUGCAGUCUCCUGAUCUUGGCUCACUGCAACCUCUGUCUCCUGGGUUCAAGUGAUUCUUGUGCCUCAGCCUACCAAGUAGCUGAGAUACAGGAUUGACUUCUAAAGACUCUUGGUACCUGAGGAAGAAACCCAGAAGAGGAAGAGGAAAGCAAAGGAGU